UACGGAGGGUGCAAGCGUUGUCCGGAAUCACUGGGUCGUAAAGGGCGCGUAGGCGGCUCGGUAAGUAGGGGGUGAAAAUCCGUGCGGCUCAACCCGCAGGGCUGCCCUUCUAAACUGUCCGAGCUCAAGCACGGUAGAAGGCAGAUGGAAUUCCCGGUGUAGCGGUGGAAUGCGUAGAGAUCGGGAAGAACACCCGUGGCGAAGGCGGCUCUCUGGGACGGUACUGAACGCUGAGGCGGCGAAGGCGUGGGGAGCGAACGGG
rnacentral:rRNA from 1 species